rnacentral:lncRNA from 1 species
ACCAAGGUUAUAUCAUAUACAAGUCAUUCUAAACCAUAUGUUUGUCACUUCCAAGGGUUCCAACACAUGUGUCAUUCUCUCAUACCCUACUAUACAAAACCUAACUUGGUUCCCGUUCUCCACACGCAACUUCAGAUAUCUUAGUUCUUGUCCUCCACAUUCAGCUUUGAAUAAUCUUGGGUUUGAGUCAUCCUCCACACCCAACUUCAGACCGAUCUCCCCACCUCCUCAAGGACUUAUGAGUAAAAACAUUGGUGAAACACACCCACCG